GGUACCUUGGCCGAGCGGUCUAAGGCGCAACGUUAAGGCCGUUGUCUUCGGGCGUGAGUUCGAAUCUCACAGGUAUCA
rnacentral:tRNA from 1 species